AGGUAGCAUGACCUCCACCUGUAGUUAUUGGAGAGGUAAUCACACCUAGAGAACACCAGAGAAGAACUGCGUUGAGGAGGAAAUUCUGCAAAUAUUUUGCUUUCCUUUGGAUCAAGACUGGGAAGAAACUGGAAAGCACAGGAUUUACCACAGCAUGGAAAAUGUGAUUCCUCUCCAGCUCCCGUGCUCGCAGGAGGACCAAAAGCAAUCUGUGCAAUGAGCUAGGCAAAACCUUCCUCGUGUUACACUUUGCGUUCACAAAGAGCUUUUCCACCUGAAGAAUGAGCAGGAGUAGUGUCUCAUGGCUUCCUCUUCAUUCCCGUUGGCUGUUGCCAUUUCCCUGGGGCUUUACAAGGAGCUGUGUUUUCUUCAGAAUGUGGAGACUUUCUUCCCUCUCAGUUUUCCAACAGCACCUCAGGAAGCCAAGGCCCUUGGAAAUGUGGACUCAAAGGGGAAGCAGGUGAUGUGAGCUCGCUGUGAGUAAGGCUGCAGGGUGGCUGCAGAAGAACGGCGUUCCAAGAGCUUCUGAUAUAAACGCCGAUCUGCUGGGGCACGAUCUGACCCUGCUGCUCUUUCUUCUUUCCUCCCUUUCCUUUCCCUGCCUCUUUUAAUUGUGUGUGUCCUUUUCACUGCCCAGUGGGUUGUGUGUUUUGGAUGAGGAGGUACCUCCUGCUCUCUCUUGUGACGGGUUUCAAGGACGGGUCCACCAAGAGCGUUAGGAGAGCAGAUAAAACCUCGGGAACUCUCUGGGUCCAAGUGUGAGUCAUCAGAAGGGUUGAUUUGAAGGGACAGCUGAACUAACAUUGCCUAAGAUGCCUAUUAAAAACAUUGGCAGUCAAAGAA